CGAUAGUACUUAGCCAAAGGGGACCCCUAACAGGUAUUUGCAUCACCACUCUCGUCAGAGAGUACGCCAUUAUCCACAGGGAGUGGUUCUCUUACGUCUUUUCAGACCUAAUGGGGGAGGGAAAAACAAAUACCCCGAAUGUAGUUAGGGGAAUAGGUACCCCUCAAAGAUAAAAAGUCUAACAAGACACUUGAUGCAUUAUGCAUGUCAAUACAGAUACAUACUUCGGACCAUUCAUGCUUCAUUCCACUUUUUUUUGUUUCUUUUAUUUUUCAGGUAAUCUUAUCGGUUUCAUAUUAUUUUAGUUACAUGCAAAUCAUCAAGUGUCUAUAAAUCACAUAGCAUGCUUGAAAUCAAGAACAAUUCAACUUAUUAAGCCUACAAACAUAAAGGCAUGCAAGAACACGCGAAAUCACAAAUUAUCAAUUUAAUAUUUUUUUGGUCUAAAAAUACACCUUAAGAGGUUUAAAGAAAUACUAAAUUCCUUACCAAAAUCUUGAUAAUUUCUUCUACACCAUCCUUCUUUUCUUCCUCUCCUUCUCUCUCUAGAUC
rnacentral:lncRNA from 1 species